GAUGAACGCUGGCGGCGUGCCUAAUACAUGCAAGUCGAACGGACAGACGCGGCGCUUGCGGCGUGCAUGUUUGCCGCAGACGGGUGUGUCACGCGUGUAUACCGUACCUAUAAUACGGGUAAAUCUUCGGAACACGGGCUCUUAUAGGGGAGAAGCUUUUGCACCGCGGGGGGGGUAGGAAAGAUUCGGUCGUGCGGGCUGGUAUCGAUGGUUCCGCGCUGCAUGGGCUGGUUGUUAAGCUAACGGGUUAUGAAGGCAACGAUGCAUAGCCGAACUGAGGGGGUGGUCGGCCACACUGGAACUGAGCCACGGACCAGACGCCUACGGGAGGCAGCAGUAGGGAACCUUCCGCAACGGGCGAAAGCCUGACGGAGCAACGCCGCGUGAGUGAUGAAGGUCUUCGGAUCGUAAAAAUCUGUUAUUAGGGAAGAACAUAUGUGUCAGUAAAUGUGCCCAUCUUGACGGUACUUAAUAAGAAAGCAACGGCUAACUACGUG
rnacentral:rRNA from 1 species